CAAGAAGUAGUUUAAUUAAGAAUGCCAGCUUUGGGUGUUGGUGGUGGGGGUAGACCUCCCUUCUUGA
rnacentral:tRNA from 1 species